GACGAACGCUGGCGGCGUGCCUAACACAUGCAAGUCGAGCGGGGAAUCCCUUCGGGGGUUUCCAGCGGCGGACGGGUGAGUAACGCGUGAGCAACCUUUCCUUCACAGGGGAAUAACGCAGCGAAAGCUGUGCUAAUACCGCUUAAGACCACAGGAUCACAUGAUCUAGGGGUCAAAGGAGCAAUCCGGUGAAGGGUGGGCUCGCGUCUGAUUAGCUAGUUGGCGGGGUAACGGCCCACCAAGGCGACGAUCAGUAGCCGACCUGAGAGGGUGAUCGGCCACACUGGGACUGAGACACGGCCCAGACUCCUACGGGUGGCAG
rnacentral:rRNA from 1 species